AUGCACUCCUUCGGGCACCGCGCGAACGCGGUGGCGACGUUCGCGCUGACGAUACUCGCCGCCAUGUGCUUCGCCGCCUCCUUCUCCGACAGCUUCAACUCCCCCACCCCCGCCGCCUCCGUCAAGAUCCUCAACAUCAACUGGUUCCAGAAGGAGGCCAACGCCAACGACGAGGUUAGCAUGACGCUGAACAUCUCCGCCGACCUUUCGUCGCUCUUCACGUGGAACACGAAACAGGUGUUUGUUUUCGUGGCAGCUGAGUAUGAGACUCCACAAAAUGCCCUGAAUCAAGUGUCCCUUUGGGAUGGAAUCAUACCGGCGAAGGAGCACGCCAAGUUCUUGAUCCAUACCACAAACAAGUACAGAUUUAUCGACCAGGGGAGCAACCUGAAGGGCAGGGACUUCAACCUGACGAUGCACUGGCACAUCAUGCCCAAGACGGGCAAGAUGUUCGCGGACAAGAUCGUCAUGACGGGGUACCAGCUCCCCGAGCAGUACAGAUAG
rnacentral:rRNA from 1 species